rnacentral:rRNA from 1 species
UACAUAGGGGGCAAGCGUUGUCCGGAAUGACUGGGCGUAAAGGGAGCGUAGGCGGUUUCUUAAGUUAAAUGUGAAAGCCCGGAGCUUAACUCCGGAACUGCAUUUAAUACUGGGUGACUUGAGUGUGGGAGAGGUAAGUGGAAUUCCUAGUGUAGCGGUUAAAUGCAUAGAUAUUAGGAGGAACAUCAGUGGCGAAGGCGGCUUACUGGAACAUAACUGACGCUGAGGCUCGAAAGCGUGGGGAGCAAAC